rnacentral:rRNA from 1 species
AUCAGACACGGUGUCAGCCGCCGCGGUAAUACGGAGGGUGCAAGCGUUAUCCGGAUUUAUUGGGUUUAAAGGGUCCGUAGGCGGACUUAUAAGUCAGUGGUGAAAGCCUGUCGCUUAACGAUAGAACUGCCAUUGAUACUGUAAGUCUUGAGUAUAUUUGAGGUAACUGGAAUAAGUAGUGUAGCGGUGAAAUGCAUAGAUAUUACUUAGAACACCAAUUGCGAAGGCAGGUUACCAAGAUAUAACUGACGCUGAGGGACGAAAGCGUGGGUAGCGAACAGGAUUAGAUACCCUGGUAGUCCACGCUGUAAACGAUGCUAACUCGUUUUUGGGCUUUAGGGUUCAGAGACCAAGCGAAAGUGAUAAGUUAGCCACCUGGGGAGUACGCUCGCAAGAGUGAAACUC